rnacentral:tmRNA from 1 species
GGGGACGUACUGGUAUCGACAGGAAUGUCAACUGGUUAGUAAGCAUGUCGGAGCAUGAUGGUUCACUCCGUUAACAAAUGACUUUCACACUUUUAGAUGGCAACUAUCAGUAUGCCAUGGCGGCUUAAGACCAGGUCUUAAAGUGCCUUUGUGCCGUGCGCUUGAUGCCUAAUAUACAGCGCGCCGCAUAUCAUCAACCUUUGGGCUAGCGAAAAUACCCGCUUCGAUAUUUUUGCGAAAUUUCAGAAGAUACGGUGUAAGUUUGGGUGGGUAACCUGACCUAUCUUAAACCCGACAAUUUAAUAGGUAACUAAACAUGUAGAAGGCUAAUGAGUGCUUUCUCUGGACGCGGGUUCGACUCCCGCCGUCUCCACUU